rnacentral:rRNA from 1 species
CAGUAGCCGCGGGAAAACGAAGGGGGCUAGCGUUGCUCGGAAUGACUGGGCGUAAAGGGCGCGUAGGCGGCGGCCAAAGUCAGGCGUGAAAUUCCCGGGCUCAACCUGGGGGCUGCGUUUGAUACUUGGUUGCUUGAGUGGGGAAGAGGGUCGUGGAAUUCCCAGUGUAGAGGUGAAAUUCGUAGAUAUUGGGAAGAACACCGGUGGCGAAGGCGGCGACCUGGUCCUUUACUGACGCUGAGGCGCGAAAGCGUGGGGAGCAAACAGGAUUAGAUACCCGUGUAGUCCCUGUCUCUUAUAC